GGGUUGUGAGGUUAAGCGACCAAGCGUACACGGUGGAUGCCCUGGCAGUCAGAGGCGAUGAAGGACGUGCUAAUCUGCGAAAAGCGCCGGUAAGGUGAUAUGAACCGUUAUAACCGGCGAUGUCCGAAUGGGGAAACCCAGUGUGACUCGUCACACUAUCAUUAACUGAAUCCAUAGGUUAAUGAGGCGAACCGGGGGAACUGAAACAUCUAAGUACCCCGAGGAAAAGAAAUCAACCGAGAUUCCCCCAGUAGCGGCGAGCGAACGGGGAGGAGCCCAGAGCCUGAAUCAGCAUGUGUGUUAGUGGAAGCGUCUGGAAAGGCGCGCGAUACAGGGUGAGAGCCCCGUACACAAAAGCGCAUAUGCUGUGAGCUCGAUGAGUAGGGCGGGACACGUGGUAUCCUGUCUGAAUAUGGGGGGACCAUCCUCCAAGGCUAAAUACUCCUGACUGACCGAUAGUGAACCAGUACCGUGAGGGAAAGGCGAAAAGAACCCCGGCGAGGGGAGUGAAACAGAACCUGAAACCGUGUACGUACAAGCAGUGGGAGCCUCUCUUUAUGGGGGGUGACUGCGUACCUUUUGUAUAAUGGGUCAGCGACUUAUAUUCUGUAGCAAGGUUAACCGCAUAGGGGAGCCGAAGGGAAACCGAGUCUUAAUUGGGCGUUAAGUUGCAGGGUAUAGACCCGAAACCCGGUGAUCUAGCCAUGGGCAGGUUGAAGGUUGGGUAACACUAACUGGAGGACCGAACCGACUAAUGUUGAAAAAUUAGCGGAUGACCUGUGGCUGGGGGUGAAAGGCCAAUCAAACCGGGAGAUAGCUGGUUCUCCCCGAAAGCUAUUUAGGUAGCGCCUCGUGAACUCAUCUCCGGGGGUAGAGCACUGUUUCGGCUAGGGGGCCAUCCCGGCUUACCAACCCGAUGCAAACUGCGAAUACCGGAGAAUGUUAUCACGGGAGACACACGGCGGGUGCUAACGUCCGUCGUGAAGAGGGAAACAACCCAGACCGCCAGCUAAGGUCCCAAAGUCAUGGUUAAGUGGGAAACGAUGUGGGAAGGCCCAGACAGCCAGGAUGUUGGCUUAGAAGCAGCCAUCAUUUAAAGAAAGCGUAAUAGCUCACUGGUCGAGUCGGCCUGCGCGGAAGAUGUAACGGGGCUAAACCAUGCACCGAAGCUGCGGCAGCGACACUUUAGUGUUGUUGGGUAGGGGAGCGUUCUGUAAGCCGUUGAAGGUGUCCUGUGAGGGGUGCUGGAGGUAUCAGAAGUGCGAAUGCUGACAUAAGUAACGAUAAAGCGGGUGAAAAGCCCGCUCGCCGGAAGACCAAGGGUUCCUGUCCAACGUUAAUCGGGGCAGGGUGAGUCGACCCCUAAGGCGAGGCCGAAAGGCGUAGUCGAUGGGAAACGGGUUAAUAUUCCCGUACUUGGUGUUACUGCGAAGGGGGGACGGAGAAGGCUAUGUUGGCCGGGCGACGGUAGUCCCGGUUUAAGCGUGUAGGCUGGUUUUCCAGGCAAAUCCGGAAAAUCAAGGCUGAGGCGUGAUGACGAGGCACCACGGUGCUGAAGCAACAAAUGCCCUGCUUCCAGGAAAAGCCUCUAAGCAUCAGGUAACAUCAAAUCGUACCCCAAACCGACACAGGUGGUCAGGUAGAGAAUACCAAGGCGCUUGAGAGAACUCGGGUGAAGGAACUAGGCAAAAUGGUGCCGUAACUUCGGGAGAAGGCACGCUGACACGUAGGUGAAGUGAUUUACUCAUGGAGCUGAAGUCAGUCGAAGAUACCAGCUGGCUGCAACUGUUUAUUAAAAACACAGCACUGUGCAAACACGAAAGUGGACGUAUACGGUGUGACGCCUGCCCGGUGCCGGAAGGUUAAUUGAUGGGGUCAGCGCAAGCGAAGCUCCUGAUCGAAGCCCCGGUAAACGGCGGCCGUAACUAUAACGGUCCUAAGGUAGCGAAAUUCCUUGUCGGGUAAGUUCCGACCUGCACGAAUGGCGUAAUGAUGGCCAGGCUGUCUCCACCCGAGACUCAGUGAAAUUGAACUCGCUGUGAAGAUGCAGUGUACCCGCGGCAAGACGGAAAGACCCCGUGAACCUUUACUAUAGCUUGACACUGAACAUUGAGCCUUGAUGUGUAGGAUAGGUGGGAGGCUUUGAAGCGUGGACGCCAGUCUGCGUGGAGCCGACCUUGAAAUACCACCCUUUAAUGUUUGAUGUUCUAACGUGGACCCGUAAUCCGGGUUGCGGACAGUGUCUGGUGGGUAGUUUGACUGGGGCGGUCUCCUCCUAAAGAGUAACGGAGGAGCACGAAGGUUGGCUAAUCCUGGUCGGACAUCAGGAGGUUAGUGCAAUGGCAUAAGCCAGCUUGACUGCGAGCGUGACGGCGCGAGCAGGUGCGAAAGCAGGUCAUAGUGAUCCGGUGGUUCUGAAUGGAAGGGCCAUCGCUCAACGGAUAAAAGGUACUCCGGGGAUAACAGGCUGAUACCGCCCAAGAGUUCAUAUCGACGGCGGUGUUUGGCACCUCGAUGUCGGCUCAUCACAUCCUGGGGCUGAAGUAGGUCCCAAGGGUAUGGCUGUUCGCCAUUUAAAGUGGUACGCGAGCUGGGUUUAGAACGUCGUGAGACAGUUCGGUCCCUAUCUGCCGUGGGCGCUGGAAGACUGAGGGGGGCUGCUCCUAGUACGAGAGGACCGGAGUGGACGCAUCACUGGUGUUCGGGUUGUCAUGCCAAUGGCACUGCCCGGUAGCUAAAUGCGGAAAAGAUAAGUGCUGAAAGCAUCUAAGCACGAAACUUGCCCCGAGAUGAGUCUUCCCUGAGACUUUGAGUCUCCUGAAGGAACGUUAAAGACGAUGACGUUGAUAGGCCGGGUGUGUAAGCGCAGCGAUGCGUUGAGCUAACCGGUACUAAUGAACCGUGAGGCUUAACCUUACAACGCCGAAGCUGUU
rnacentral:rRNA from 1 species